rnacentral:misc_RNA from 1 species
GCUCAGUUGGUAGAGCGCUGCCUUUGCACGGCAGAAGCCAGCGGUUCGAGUCCGCUUACCUCCAGUGGGGCAGAGAAAAGCAAGCAAAAAGAGUCCAGCAACUCAAAUGGGAAAAAACCAGGGAGACUGCUGGAGGAAAAACCAGCCAGAACCUUGAAAACUGCAA